ACUUGAAUUCUGUCACAUGCUGGGCAAAGGUGUCUGCAUGACUGGCCCCCAGUAAAAACCCUGGGCAGAAACAGGCUGGGUGGUGGUGGGCAUGAGAUGCUGUGUGACCAACAGGGAGGGAGCCUAGAAUGUCUGUAGUGGAUUUCCCAGGAUCCAGUUAUAUGUCCUUCUGCGUGGCUGUAAUAAAUGCAGGCCAUGUGCACAAAGAUACCCUGAGUCCCCUGAUUCCUUCUAGCCAAUCUUCAACCCUGGAGUGGUCUUGCAACCCGGCAGAGCCAUGCUGUACUCAGUAUGCAGACAGUGAUAACGGGCCAGCCGUGACCUGGAGCCAAGGCCACCCCAGAAGGCUGGGCAGGCAGUCAGCAUCGGUGCAAACCUGCCUGGACCUCGGCACAGGCCCUGUUGAGCUCGCUUCUGCUCAGACACACGGUUUAUAGCCCCUCAUGGCUCCCUCCAUCCUGAGUGGGUCCCAACGUCACCAGACAGCGCGCAGUCCCCGCGGGCGCCUUCUGGUGUAUUCACUGAGUGCUCCGCCCGCCGCCAGGUGUGACGUCACGGCAGGUGAGGCUGCCCUCGCCCGCCUGCGAACCUGCCACCGCUUUGCAUCUGCCCACGCUUCUGCGGACGCUUCACCGCAGAAGACGUCCGCAGACGGGAGUCUCUUAUACUCAUCUUCACCCCCCGAGAAUCCGAAUCCCUGGAAAGGCUGAGGAUACCAGGUGAAGAACCCCUGUGCCAAAUGAAGAUCUGUUAGAAGGGCUACGGCGUAAGACCAACCUCCAGGAAGUUCAUGACGGUGAAGAACAAUAGCAGGAAGGCUGGUGCAAAGACGAGGCGGUCCAGGAGGAGCCGCUUGACCCCUGCCCAGGGGACCUCAGAAGGGAUCCAGUGCUCCAUGAAGAGGUAGAAGAAGUGACUCAGUGGCCCUGUGAAGAAGAACCUGAGGCCCCGCCAUUGGGGUGAGCUGGACUCAGUCCUCUGGAUGUGCCCUUCCAGGGUCCAGCUUCACCCCCAAGGUCCAAGUCUGAAACCCUGCCUUCCUGGAGUCCCUCAGCACUGACCACACAGGUCUACAUGCUCCUUCUAGAAAAUAUGCUUUCUUUGAAUCUGCUUCAAGCAUUUUUUUGCCUUUCACAGACCAGAUUUGUUCUUGCCUUGGGUUCCCUCAGUCUUCAUGUGACCAGCUCCUUCUCAAUCCUGUCAGCUUGGAGAAUUCUUUGCUGGUUGUCCUGGAUAAUCAACCCACCACUAUCCUAGCCACUCUCAGUUCCAAGUCUUGUUUCAUUUUCUUCAUAGCAUUUUUCACUACAUGUCAUAAUCUUAUUUGAGUAGUCAAAAAAUAUGCUCUCCUCAACCCCAAAAGGUAAAUGCCACAAGACAGGAUUGUGUCUGUCUGUUCACUGCUGUGACUGCAGGCCUAGAACAGGGCCUGGCUCAGAGAAGGUGCUCAACAGUAAACAAAUGGACACAUGUCUGGUGUUAGAGCUGCUCACCAAACUCCUUAGAUAAUUAGCAAGAGUGAAACCUAGUAGUGUGUGUCCAUAUUGGCACUUCCUACUAUUUGUUCCAAAGUAAACAGAGAACUUGGAAGGGAACUACAUCUGUUGGGACAACAGAUCUGCAGCUCCAGAAAAUUUGGCAUAAAAAGAUAGGCAGGAACCCAUAGAUCUUUCAAUUUCUGACACUGGAAGUCUUUAAACAAGGGGAAUCUCAGUACUCUUCCCCUUGCUGUAGAAGGUUCAGUGGCCUGGAGCAGGGGUUCCCAGUAGGAGGAGAAUGAAUGAAAAACUGCAAUUGGAUGAGGCUUCCCAGAUGAUGCCGAUAUGCAUCCCUCUCUAGGGGCUUACACUUUAAAUAUGUUACGGAAAAAGCUGUGAUCACUAUUGUUAACAUACAAAGACAAAAAUCUGUGAAUACUGAAUUGAAAAAAAAAAACUUUGUUGUAAAAGACUUAAAAAUAAUCCACCUAUGCAAAUACUGUCGUUUGACAGAGAACUCAGAGUGGAUUUAUUGAAAAAACUCCUAAAUCUCUACGCUUUUGCAAUUCAAAAAGUCAUUCAGAAAUGACAUUUUUCAGGAUACCUAUACACUAUGAAAAUAACAACAGAAACUGUCCAUAUUUAAGUAUGUUUUCCUCCUUCAGGCCUUUAAGUCUUGCAGCUUGAUUUCAGGUUCAGCUUAGUUAUUUGCCCUCUGGCUGCUCAACCCUUGCCCAAGCAAUUCAAAAUAAAAACCAUGUAAAACUAUAAAAUAGGCAAAAUUAACACUUAUCCACUGUUUUGAUUUUUCCCAAUGAUUUUUACAAUGCUUUAAUUUUUCCAAAUUAGAUUAUUCCAGACUCUUGGCCUUGACACCUUACUUUGUCACACUUAGUCUGCUGCUGGGUAAACCUUUACGGAACUCACCCAUAAAUGGCAUAUCUGAGUGGCUCGCUGACAUCUAGUUUUUGAAAGCAGUUUUCUUUUUUCCGUUUCUUCUCAAUCAUCUGGGCCAGGAAGUUCCCAAGUGCUGACAGAAUGCCACUGUGGACAGAGAGCUAAUCAGAAAACAGAAGCAAACAGCAAGAAGGUGUCCAUUCCUGAACAGAAUUAGCAUGGCUGUUCUGAGAUCAUGCUGAGGAUGGGUGGAAACGAAUCUUUAUUAAAGCAGUGCAAUGUAAGGUCCCUACCUCAAAAAGUGGAGACGGUAUAACUUAAUACACACACAGGAGCACAAUAAGAUUUCCAAUUGGUGCAUUUUAUCAGUGCCAAUGUCCUGAUCGUGACAUUGUACUAUGAUUUUGCAAAAGGUUACUAUGUGUGGGAGGGAGAUGUGUGAUUAUAAAUGGGCAACAGGAGGUACCCUCAUGAUGGAACUUUCCUGUUUUGACUGUGGUGGAUAUACAAACCUAUACACAAUGAAAUUGCAUAGAACUGUGCAUGCACACACAUGUAUGCAUGCUAGUACAAGCAAAGCUGGGGAGAUGUUAAUGUGAUCUGUGGACUGUAUCUACACCAGUGUCCUUGUUGUGAUAUUGUACUGUAGUUUUACAAAAUAUUACCAAUGGGAGAAACUGGGCAAAGUGUAAAAGGGGUCUGCCUGUGUUAUUUUUUACAACUGCAUGCUAAUCUACAAUUAUUGUCAUAAAAUUUCAAUAAAAAGGUGGAGACAGG